GAUGAACGCUGGCGGCGUGCCUAAUACAUGCAAGUCGAGCGAACAGACGAGGAGCUUGCUCCUCUGACGUUAGCGGCGGACGGGUGAGUAACACGUGGAUAACCUACCUAUAAGACUGGGAUAACUUCGGGAAACCGGAGCUAAUACCGGAUAAUAUAUUGAACCGCAUGGUUCAAUAGUGAAAGACGGUUUUGCUGUCACUUAUAGAUGGAUCCGCGCCGCAUUAGCUAGUUGGUAAGGUAACGGCUUACCAAGGCAACGAUGCGUAGCCGACCUGAGAGGGUGAUCGGCCACACUGGAACUGAGACACGGUCCAGACUCCUACGGGAGGCAGCAGUAGGGAAUCUUCCGCAAUGGGCGAAAGCCUGACGGAGCAACGCCGCGUGAGUGAUGAAGGUCUUCGGAUCGUAAAACUCUGCUAUUAGGGAAGAACAAAUGUGUAAGUAACUAUGCACGUCUUGACGGUACCUAAUCAGAAAGCCACGGCUAACUACG
rnacentral:rRNA from 1 species